GGUUUGUUCCUCCACUUCUAUACCAUGUUUUCUUGUUUUUUGGCAUUUUGUUGCCAAGAUAUUCAGUCUGCUUUACAGACGUAUGGUUCGAUAUUUUUUAUUUUUUUAGGGUUCGCUCAUGCACUUGUAUACCAUCUUUUCUUGUUUUUUACAUCUCGUUGUCACUAUUUUCAGUCUGCCAAAUAGAUGUAUUGUUGGAUUUGUGUUUUUUUGGGUUUGAUCCUACACUUGGAUACCUUGAAUUUGUGUGUUAUUCCUCAAAAACCAUUGGUAGGUUGGAUGCAUUUUAUUGUCUGGGAUUUUUAACAGUCCUUUUAAAUGUUGUUCAUUGUUGUUUUGUGCAUGCUUGUUAUGUGUUGUUUUCCCAUUGAUUUAUAUUCAGAUCUGUAAUGGUAAGUUACUGCAUGGUAUUUUCAUUUCAAAUUGUUGUGGAUUAAUUUGUGAAGGUUUUUUUAUGCCUUUGAUCUAUAAAAUAUUUUCCUAUUUCCAAUUGGGUAAUUUCUACUUUUAAUCCAUUAUUUCAUGCUUCUCCCUCUGUUGGAGAUCUCUUCCCCUUGACGCAAAUAACUAGCUGCUAUGUUUGGUUAGUGUCUUCUUCUUUACAAGGUUAGCAACAACUACAGUUGUUAUCUUUGUUACAUCCAUAUAUCUGCAUUGUUUGUUAUGUUGAUGUUAUCCUCAUAUUUAAUCUAAUUUCGUGCAUUGUUUUUGAAUUCUUAUACAUGUUUGCAUUAAUUCUUUUUGUGUCUAUGUCUUUGGUUUUUCCCCAGAAGUGUUACCAUUGCAAUGAUAUCUUCAGGUCUUCAUUAUUUCUGGUUGUCAUUUCUGUUAUGCUUGUGAUUCUGUGAGACAUUGUACUCUUGGUUUGUAUUAUUCUUAUCCACACACUAUAUAUAUAUUUUUUGAAUUCUUUUGCUUUCUUCAUCGUAUUUCCCUUUGCUUAUUUCCAUUUCAUGUCAUUAUGUUCCAAUUGGCCUUCUCUAUACCAUUUAAAUGUGCACUCUACAUGAAUUUGCAUGUUAAUUGUUUCAAUAUGUUAUAUGCACUGAUUGUUUUUUGUUUUACCAUGUAUUUUUCCAUUGAUUAUGUGUCUCUAUUGAUUCUUGUUUCUAUUGAUUAUGCAUUUAUUUUUUAUUUUAUUAGUAUGUAUAUUUUUGUUAGGUGCCAAUUUGUUGCUUGUUGUUUUUUUUACUUUGAAUGUAUGACCUGGUUUCUAUUUUAUUUUAUUGUUGGUAUAAUGUGCUAGAUGCAAACUUGGAUAUGUUUUGUCCUAGGUCUUUUUGACCCCAAGUAGUUUAGCAAUAUCAAUUUAAAUGGGUCAACGUCUAAAUGUGCUCUUGUAGAUGGAUGAUUGGGUAGUUGAUAAGUGGGCAAGGACUCUCGCAACAGCCUUUACAACAAUUGUUGUCAUUGUGGCCUUUUUAUUUGAAGAUAUGCAGUUGCCUAGGUUAUCAAGUUGCCCACAACCAUCAAUGUUUAGGGACCUAACUAGAUGACACCAUAUGAAUCGAAUCCUAAGAAGUGGAUGUGACUAUUGUGUUAGCUACCUCAGUAUGGAUGUAGGUCUUUUCAUGCACUUAUCAUCCAUGAUGAGUGAUAAGCAUUUGCUCAUGGAUACGAGGCAUGUUUUAGUAGAGGAACAAUUGGUGAUAUUCUUCCAUAUAGUUGGUCAUAAUACGAAGAAUAGAAUCAUGCGAAUAGAGUUUGUUCAAUCGGGUGAAACAAUUAGCUGAUAUUUCAACAAUGUGUUAUGAGCCCUUUGUGCAAUACAUGAUGAUUUUGUCCAAGCACCUGGCACUUGUCAUCCAGAAAUCGAAAAUCACCCAAGUCGGAACCCAUAUUUCAAGGAUUGCAUUGGGUUGUUAGACGAUACGCACAUUGAUGCAUCCGUCCUGUCCCUUGAGUUGCCUCGAUUUCGUAGUAGGAAGGGACCAACACAAAACGUGCUAGCAGUGGUGAACCCUAAUCUCAAAAAUUACUUAUGUGAUAGUAGGGUGGGAAGGCUCAGCAAACGACUUCACCGUCUUAAGGGAUGCGUUGUUGCGGCCACAUCCUAAAGGCCUCAAGCUAAUAGAAGUUACGGUAUAGUUUUAAUGGCAACGAUGAUGACCAAGAGUCAACGAAAGAAUUGAGGCAUUUGUCCCCGAUGAAAUGGUGUUUUGCUGUGCUCUUGGGUUAUUUUGAUGCAUUGUCAGGCCAAAUCUCUGCGGCCAAUUGCAUCUUAAAACCAUAGCACGUGUUGUCGGGCUCGUAAUAGGUUGUGAGUACGGUGGGGCAAUGGGCCAUACAACGCCUUUUGCAGCCUACUUGCAACUUGUUACUGAAUUUGCUCAACCGGCAAGAUGCACUUUUGUGAAAACAAAACUAUAUUUUGUAGGUUUUAUCGAAUUCUGUCUUUACCUUGUUGCUUGUUGGUUGUAAUUUCCCUUUUUUUUAUUUUUUAUUUUUUCAUAUUGUGUGUUGGUGGACUUAAAAAUGCCAAUGAAAUGCUACUGGUACAUGGGCUUAUGCCCCCUGAGCCAUUUUUUAAGAUGCACAGAGUAGCAACUGGGAGGCUUUUGGCUGAACAAGACAUAGAUACUUGAAGACUUGCAUGUUAGGAGAAUUUGAUAAUUGUAAGUACAAAAUCUUCUUGGCAAGGUUAGCUUGUACCGUAUGGGGUUUAUGAGUCUGGACUUUGUUGACAUUUGGACCUUUUAUAUACAAGUGUAAGAACAUAAGUCUCAUUUUUGUAGAGAUUUCCAUAUUUUAAUGAGUUAUGCA